rnacentral:rRNA from 1 species
UACGUAGGGUGCAAGCGUUGUCCGGAAUUACUGGGCGUAAAGGGCGCGCAGGCGGCCGACGUAGUCAGGCGUGAAAGCCCCGGGCUUAACCUGGGAAUUGCGUUUGAUACUCGUUGGCUGGAGUUCGGGAGAGGAUGGUGGAAUUCCCAGUGUAGAGGUGAAAUUCGUAGAUAUUGGGAAGAACACCGGUGGCGAAGGCGGCCAUCUGGACCGAAACUGACGCUGAGGCGCGAAAGCGUGGGGAGCAAACAGG